AAGACCUACGGGACGCAGCAGUGGGGAAUAUUGGGCAAUGGGCGCAAGCCUGACCCAGCAACGCCGCGUGAAGGAAGAAGGCUUUCGGAUUGUAAACUUCUUUUAAGAGGGAAGAGAAGAAGACGGUACCUCUUGAAUAAGCCACGGCUAACUACGUGCCAGCAGCCGCGGUAAUACGUAGGUGGCAAGCGUUGUCCGGAUUUACUGGGUGUAAAGGGAGCGUAGACGGCAUGGCAAGUCAGAUGUGAAAGCCCGGGGCUCAACCCCGGGACUGCAUUUGAAACUGUCGGCCUCGAGUGGGCGAG
rnacentral:rRNA from 1 species